rnacentral:misc_RNA from 1 species
GGUACACAUGGGGCAAUGAAGUGCAUCUUGAAUGGAGUCCUCCAACAGCAUGACACGUUAUGCAUGAGUUUGUUUAAACGCACAUACCCCAGGUGGCCGGAAAAGUGGUUCCCGAUGACAGAUGCUUAAGAGAAAGGUCAAGUGGUGGCCCAGGUUUAUGGUUUCUCCCAAGUGUGAAGGGAGAAGAAAUCACAUUUGCUGCACAUGGGAAUGAAGCUCUGGUUCAGAAUGAGUUACUAUUCAAGUUUUGUACGAGGGAAAUUUUUUACUUUGUUUACUUUUCUUUCUCCCCAAAGGUUUCUUCAGAAACCAGUUUAUAGUGUAUAAUAUAUGGUAGCUCAUUUUUUCGUGCCACAACACAAUCUUGUAUCACUUAUAAAUUAGUUCCUA